rnacentral:rRNA from 1 species
AAUAGAUACCCGGGUAGUCCACGCCGUAAACGAUGAGUGCUAAGUGUUAGAGGGUUUCCGCCCUUUAGUGCUGAAGUUAACGCAUUAAGCACUCCGCCUGGGGAGUACGGCCGCAAGGCUGAAACUCAAAGGAAUUGACGGGGGCCCGCACAAGCGGUGGAGCAUGUGGUUUAAUUCGAAGCAACGCGAAGAACCUUACCAGGUCUUGACAUCCUCUGACAACCCUGGAGAUAGGGCUUCUCCUUCGGGAGCAGAGUGACAGGUGGUGCAUGGUUGUCGUCAGCUCGUGUCGUGAGAUGUUGGGUUAAGUCCCGCAACGAGCGCAACCCUUGAUCUUAGUUGCCAUCAUUAAGUUGGGCACUCUAAGGUGACUGCCGGUGACAAACCGGAGGAAGGUGGGGAUGACGUCAAAUCAUCAUGCCCCUUAUGACCUGGGCUACACACGUGCUACAAUGGACGGUACAAAGAGCUGCAAGACCGCGAGGUGGAGCUAAUCUCAUAAAACCGUUCUCAGUUCGGAUUGUAGG